rnacentral:rRNA from 1 species
AACGAACACUGGCGGCAGGCUUAACACAUGCAAGUCGAACGCGUGUAGCAAUACACGAGUGGCGCACGGGUGAGUAACACGUGGAUUAUCUGCCUUUUGGUUCGGAAUAACCCCGGGAAACUGGGGCUAAUACCGGAUGGUUCCUAUGGGAUACAGAUUUAUCGCCAAAAGAUGAGUCCGCGCCCGAUUAGCUAGUUGGCGGGGUAAGGGCCCACCAAGGCAACGAUCGGUAGCUGGUCUGAGAGGACGAUCAGCCACACUGGGACUGAGACACGGCCCAGACUCCUACGGGAGGCAGCAGUGGGGAAUAUUGGACAAUGGGGGCAACCCUGAUCCAGCCAUGCCGCGUGAGUGAUGAAGGCCUUCGGGUUGUAAAGCUCUUUUGGCGGGGACGAUGAUGACGGUACCCGCAGAAUAAGCCCCGGCUAACUUCGUGCCAGCAGCCGCAGUAAUAC